ACUUUAUUUACAGCAUGGACGUGGUACAAAAUCAGUAGGAAGAUGUGACAUCACACACAUUGUAAUAAAAAAGCCAACAUCACACAUACUGUAUGGUACUUUAAUCAAAAGGUAACAUCACAAAUACAGUAACAAUAUCAACUUUAAAAUGUUUUUUCUUUUUUUUUGUGGUGGGGGGUGCAAGGUAAUGGUUUUUGUAUUUUUUUUAUUCGUUAUUUUGUUGUUUUUUUGUAUUUUUAGUUUGUCUUUUGAUUUUGGAACACUGGCGCAUACAGACACCAGAACGGAGAAAGGAAACAGACAACAGCAGCCCCUGGGUGGACACACAGCACAAGGCCACAGAUGGACACAGCACUAUGGACUCGGCCGCUACUGGAUACAGCAGCACAAAAAAAUCAACUCAUGCCAGAUGACAGGAGAAUAAAAGGGUCAACUUGUACCAGGCCCUUACAUUACCAGGGCUAGACACUCCCAUCAGGAAUGUGGAGAGUGCAAGAAAUUGUAGAGAAACUAACUCGUGAGGAUGAUGAGCGUACUGCUUUGCAAAUAAAAUGAAUUCUCUAUUCCAAGUAUGACCUGGACAUAUCGAUCACCAGCGUUAGAAGGAUGCGACGGAAAAUGGGAUGGACCUUUGGCGCUACAAGGAUAUCUCCCAUGAUAAGAGAUGUGAAUAAAGAAAAGAGUUCAACAGGUACGGCGAUGGAUUGAGAGUGAUGUCAUUUUCACAGAUGAAUCGUGCGGUUCUCCAGAAUGUCAUUUCGGAAACGUCACCAUAUCUCAUUAAAACCACGCCCAAAGCAUCCAUUGAAGGUCCAUGUAUGGGGAGGCAUUUCACGAUUAGGAGCUCGUCCCCUAUUAUUUUUCGAAGGGACCAUGGAUAAGCAAUUCUACCAAGAAAAAAUAGUAGAGGGAUGUGUAUGGUUCCAUUCGUGAAUAAAUAUUACCCAUCUCAUCACAUGAUAUUCCAAGACAAUGACCCUAAACACUCUGCCUCAGCCAAAUUUAUGGAAGAGAAAGGUAUCAAUUGGGAACACACACACCAGAAUCACAAGACAUGAAUGCAAUUGAAUUAGUGUGGGCUCAAUUGAAGAGAUACAUUAGGAGUGUUGCGAAGUCAACAACAAAACACCAGCUGUUGGAUGGGAGCCAGAAAUUUUGGCUAGAAGUACUCACACCUGAACAUUGUAAUAAUUAUAUAAAUCACCUGUAUAAAGUAUUACCUGUUAUAGUUGAAAGAAAUGGUCAAGCCACAAGUAUUUAGUUCUGUACUGUAUUUUCUGUAUAAAAUUUUAAU